rnacentral:rRNA from 1 species
CGGACGGGGUGAGUAACGCGUGGAAAACCUGCCGUAUACUGGGGGAUAACACUUAGAAAUAGGUGCUAAUACCGCAUAAGCGCACAGCUUCGCAUGAAGCGGUGUGAAAAACUCUGGUGGUAUACGAUGGUUCCGCGUCUGAUUAGCUAGUUGGUGGGGUAAUGGCCUACCAAGGCAACGAUCAGUAGCCGGCCUGAGAGGGUGAACGGCCACAUUGGGACUGAGACACGGCCCAAACUCCUACGGAAGGCAGCAG